rnacentral:rRNA from 1 species
UACAGAGGGGGCAAGCGUUGUCCGGAAUUACUGGGCGUAAAGGGCGCGUAGGCGGCCUGUUAAGUCGAACGUGAAAUCCCCGGGCUCAACCCGGGAACUGCGUCCGAUACUGGCAGGCUUGAAUUCGGGAGAGGGAUGUGGAAUUCCAGGUGUAGCGGUGAAAUGCGUAGAUAUCUGGAGGAACACCGGUGGCGAAGGCGGCAUCCUGGACCGAUAUUGACGCUGAUGCGCGAAAGCGUGGGGAGCAAACAGG